rnacentral:lncRNA from 1 species
GUUGCCUGUAAACAUAUCAGUGCUUUUCUCCAGCUGGAAUAGUAAACUACAGUCUAGUCGCUUCAUGGAAUAAUAAGUAGGAUAAUCCAUAUUAAUGGAAUAUUAUCUGGUUAAAAGACUAUAAAAAUGAAACAUUAUAAUAUUAACUAAAAUAAUAAGGAUAUUUGAUUGAAACUAGGUUGAAAAACAGCCUAUGCCUUGGAGGAAAUGUAUACAAAUGAUUGAUGAUUUAGUUUUAUUCCUGCUUUUUAAACUUUUUGUCAUGUAGUUAUUGUUUAGUUGACAUGUACAGUUUUUUUUUUUUUAAUGGGGGAAAUUAAACUGACAAUUUAUGGAAGCCAGGGCUUGCCACAGUCCCCACUGUUGGUUUAUAAUGUACUACCUGGGAAUUUAUCCAAGCCCUUAAUAAUAGUGUUUAUGCACUUAUCUUGUGUUCUUACAAUGUUCCAGUCACUAUGAUAAGUGCUUUAUAGCUUUUUUGUCAUCCUCACAGCUUUAUGGGGUUGGUACCAUUUUUGUCUACUCAUUACAGGUGAUAGAAAUGAAGCUUAUAAUAGCAAAGUGACUUAACUAAUCACAUAGCUUUUGUGUGCUGUGCCAAGGUUUGAAAUUAAAUUUGAUAAUUGAAUCCAGUUACUUAACUGCCAUUUAUAUUGCUUCCUGUUUAACAUCUGCCAUUUAUUUCCUCUGCCUAUGCAAACCCUGUUUUCUCUCUGCUAUGUACUAAGAUGGUUAUCUUUGUUUUUUGUGCCUGAGAGAUAACCCUGUCCUGGUUGAGGGUGACAGAACCAGGUUAGUUCACGCUUCAUGUUUAGUAGCCAUGAUCUGAUAGCUUACUUUUUUCCAGGCUAAAGGAGAAUGGUUUUGUCUAUUU